rnacentral:rRNA from 1 species
GAUGAGCGCUGGCGGCGUGCCUAAUACAUGCAAGUCGAGCGAACAGACGAGGAGCUUGCUCCUCUGACGUUAGCGGCGGACGGGUGAGUAACACGUGGAUAACCUACCUAUAAGACUGGGAUAACUUCGGGAAACCGGAGCUAAUACCGGAUAAUAUAUUGAACCGCAUGGUUCAAUAGUGAAAGACGGUUUUGCUGUCACUUAUAGAUGGAUCCGCGCCGCAUUAGCUAGUUGGUAAGGUAACGGCUUACCAAGGCAACGAUGCGUAGCCGACCUGAGAGGGUGAUCGGCCACACUGGAACUGAGACACGGUCCAGACUCCUACGGGAGGCAGCAGUAGGGAAUCUUCCGCAAUGGGCGAAAGCCUGACGGAGCAACGCCGCGUGAGUGAUGAAGGUCUUCGGAUCGUAAAACUCUGUCAUUAGGGAAGAACAAAUGUGUAAGUAACUAUGCACGUCUGGACGGUACCUAAUCAGAAAGCCACGGCGAACUACGU